rnacentral:rRNA from 1 species
AGAGUUUGAUCCUGGCUCAGGAUGAACGCUAGCGGCAGGCUUAAUACAUGCAAGUCGAGGGGCAGCAUGGUGUAGCAAUACACUGAUGGCGACCGGCAAACGGGUGCGGAACACGUACGCAACCUUCCUUUUAGUGGGGAAUAGCCCAGGGAAACUUGGAUUAAUACCUCGUAACAUUAUGAAACGGCAUCGUUUUAUAA